CUACUGUAAUGGAAAUCACAACAUGGGCUCAGGAAUACUUCCAGAAAACAUUGUUGGUGAACACAAUCCACACUCAAAAAAAUGAUUCUUGCCACUAUUUGAAAUUAAGCAAAAAAAUCUAAUAAAACAUAUUUAAAAACUAAUAAAAAUACCUAUUAUUACUCCAAAUUACUUUUAUACAACAUGAAUGAAAUGGAUACAAGACCAACCUGAUCAAAUUACAUAAACUAUACUUAAUUUGUUGCCAUAAGGCGCAAAUGCAAGUGUUGCGCAUGCUCACUGAAGUCUGAGUUCAAAAUACAACAACUGAAGGCGCAAUGGCGAUCUACUGUCUGACUCGGCGAAAAGGAGGAUUUGGAUGAACAGAUGUGGAUGUUUUACAAGAAACCUCAUCAGUGGGACAAUAACUCAAUUAUGAUAUGUGAGUUUUGUGGAAACGUAAAGUGUGUGGAAGAAGCAUCACAGAAGUAUCCAAUAUGUUUAAGUAACUGAAACAUUCUAAGAUUAAACUUGGACAUUUUGAGGAGAGAUUCAGUCAACCUGUUCACAGUAAAUUAAGUAAGUGUUUUUGUUAUUUACAUUUACAUUAGAUUUUUUUUGCAAAUUACUAUAGUUUCCUCUACAGUAGGCCUCCACCUCUUCUUUCUUCCUUUUUUCCUCUCAGAUAAAAGCAGAAUUAAUGCGGAUAACGACUGUGCCACUUCUGUCAACGUUCAUAGCAGCUGGACAGAUACACUGUUGAUCAAAUGAAAGUUUUCAGCAGAAAAGGAGCUUCUGGACAAAAGAUAUCACACACAUUGCAGUUGCAGACAAGUGCGAAGAUAUACACUUCAAAUGAGUCUGUGUUAUAAAGAGUCUGUGUGUGUAUCUCAAUGGGGACAUUACAACACUUCCAGUUCUCCAGAAUUCUUCCAGAAUUCCAGGACUGCAAUCCUGAAGGAACUGAGGGAGGAAUUUCUGAGACUACUCUGGGCCCUUUUGUGACCCUUAAAGAAAGCGCUGAGGAUGAGCCAGUGGAUGUUGGCGUAGUACUACAACUACUACAAAAAACUACUACAACAC